CUUGAACGCUGGCGGCAUGCCUUACACAUGCAAGUCGAACGGCAGCACGGGAGCAAUCCUGGUGGCGAGUGGCGAACGGGUGAGUAGAGUAUCGGAACGUGCCCAGCCGUGGGGGAUAACGUAGCGAAAGUUACGCUAAUACCGCAUACGAUCUAUGGAUGAAAGCGGGGGAUCGCAAGACCUCGCGCGAUUGGAGCGGCCGAUAUCAGAUUAGGUAGUUGGUGGGGUAAAGGCUCACCAAGCCGACGAUCUGUAGCUGGUCUGAGAGGACGACCAGCCACACUGGGACUGAGACACGGCCCAGACUCCUACGGGAGGCAGCAGUGGGGAAUUUUGGACAAUGGGCGAAAGCCUGAUCCAGCCAUGCCGCGUGCAGGAUGAAGGCCUUCGGGUUGUAAACUGCUUUUGUACGGAACGAAAAGGUUUGGCCUAAUAAGCUGAGCUCAUGACGGUACCGUAAGAAUAAGCACCGGCUAACUACGUGCCAGCCGCCGCAGUAA
rnacentral:rRNA from 1 species